GGCCUCAGAUGACGUGGCAGAAUGCAAAGAAGCCAAACAUUAUUCUGUACCUCUAAAAUUAAUAUUUCCCCAUUCAUCGAUGAUGUACAUUAGAGGGAAGAAACCGGAAAGUAUUACGCGGGCCUCUCACUGUUGUGACCUCUCCCGUUGCAGAGCACAGGCUCCGGACGCACAAGCUCAGCGGCCAUGGCUCAUGGGCCCAGCCGCUCCGCGGCAUGUGGGAUCUUCCUGGACCGGGGCACGAACCCAUGUCCCCUGCAUUGGCAGGUGGACUCUCAACCACUGCGCUACCAGGGAAGCUCAGAAACUUUUUAAGGAUAGUGGAGCAUGUGUUUGGGGUACUUACUGCUGUUAUCCUCUGUCGCUGGAGUAACUGCUGAUUUGUAACAGACACAUAUGCAGGCAACUAGCUGUCUCCUAACAUUUUAUCUAAAGUCAUACAUUAUGCACUAUUCCCUUUCAUCAUUCUCUCAACAUUUUAGUGCUCAGUUUCCUACCAUGUGAGGCCAUCUCUAUUUUAGAAUUCUGUAAACUAUAAAUUGUUUAGCAAAAACACUGACAUUAUCAUAAACGGAUCUGAGAAUCCGCUUUCAGUCCAGUAUAUUAAUAUGUAAUCUCAGAACUGGUCCUGUUACUAACAUCAGGGCAGUCUUUUGAGAAUGAAGUGCUGUGAGUCUACUGAAAUUCAAUUUCUUAUUCUACAUAAUGAACACCAAAGUGAGACACACUUGAUACCAUCCUGAAUGAGAGUAUUUCAAAUCAACAUUGCAUUUACAGUCCUUAGAGAAUAACCAAGAGCUGGUUAGACUUUCUGCAGUUUCUAUACAAGGAAGUUCUUGGUGGGGGAAGAGGUAAGUUUGAAGAGUCCAGAAUCAUGGUAUCACAGUAUGAUUGUUUCUAAUCCAAAUAAGUAAAGGAGCUUGAGGAAGUGUUAGUGAAAUCUGUGAAACGUGCACUGUGCUUGUUAGAGCAGCCUGAAAUUUGCGUAUUGGGAAUUGUUAUUAUCCCACACAUUCUUUAGUUUAUGCCACAGUGCUCUGAAUAUGGAAUAUAUCCUGAUGGGUCUUGGCCUGAAGACCAGAUGAUCCUCAUUUAAAUCCCACUUUUCUGUGCUCUUAGAUUACACGGGGGUACAAUACUGACAUGACAUGCUAGAGAGUACAUGCUCCUCUAGAAGGAUGACGGCAAUGCCAUGUCCUUGGAGAGUUUGGUGAUUAUCAGUUGAACAGAGGUCCUGCUAAGACUUUUGGAAACAAAUGCAUCUGCCUGUUGCUGGAAGCAAAGAAAAUGGUCUCCUUUUAAAUUGGUUGGGCAGAUAUGCGUUAGUUGGCCUCUUUCAGAAGAGAGAAAUGGUCUUGGAUCUCCUUGUUUAGGAGAAUGAGAAAAUGCUUGCACAAGGAUGGAUUUGGCGAGGGGAAAUUCAAUGAAGUACUGCUUACAGUAUCACCCUGAAAUUCCAUCUCAUCUUGUAUUGAAUCAGCUGAGGAAUUAAAGAAAUACCUUAAUGUCCUCCAAAGGAAGAAGGCUUGAAACAGCAGGAAUUCAUUGUCUUUGGCUACAACUAUUUCUAAAGGGAACCCUGGAACCGCUUCUUUGUGGAGAAGAAUUCUAGAAAUAUUUUCUGAGCCUAGAAGCAAUAAAGAACAAAAACGGGU